CAGAGCGUAGCUAAAUAGUAUAGCAUCUCCCUUACACCGAGAAGAUAUCCGUGCGAAUCGGAUCGCGCUGA
rnacentral:tRNA from 1 species